rnacentral:rRNA from 1 species
UACGGAGGGAGCUAGCGUUGUUCGGAAUUACUGGGCGUAAAGCGCGCGUAGGCGGCUCAUCAAGUCAGGGGUGAAAGCCCGGGGCUCAACCCUGGAACUGCCUUUGAAACUAGUGAGCUAGAAUCUUGGAGAGGCGAGUGGAAUUCCGAGUGUAGAGGUGAAAUUCGUAGAUAUUCGGAAGAACACCAGUGGCGAAGGCGACUCGCUGGACAAGUAUUGACGCUGAGGUGCGAAAGCGUGGGGAGCAAACAGG